rnacentral:rRNA from 1 species
UACGAAGGGGGCUAGCGUUGCUCGGAAUCACUGGGCGUAAAGCGCACGUAGGCGGCUUUUUAAGUCAGGGGUGAAAUCCUGGAGCUCAACUCCAGAACUGCCUUUGAUACUGGGAAGCUUGAGUCCGGGAGAGGUGAGUGGAACUCCGAGUGUAGAGGUGAAAUUCGUAGAUAUCGGGAGGAACACCAGUGGCGAAGGCGGCGAUCUGGGAAGAUACUGACGCUGAGGUGCGAAAGCGUGGGGAGCAAACAGG